AGCAGCCGCGGUAAUUCCAGCUCCAAUAGCGUAUAUUAAAGUUGUUGCAGUUAAAAAGCUCGUAGUUGAAUUUCGAGACCGGCUUACUGGUCGUGCUUUUGUGCGUACUGGUAUAAUCGGUUUCUCCUUUCUGACGAACUUUAAUGCCAUUAAUUUGGUGUUUUAGGGAAUCAGGACUGUUACUUUGAAAAAAUUAGAGUGUUUAAAGCAGGCUCACGCUUGAAUACAUUAGCAUGGAAUAACGGAAUAGGACGUUUGAUUCUAUUUUGUUGGUUUCUAGGAUCGACGUAAUGAUUAAUAGGGAUAGUUGGGGGCAUUAGUAUUCAAUUGUCAGAGGUGAAAUUCUUGGAUUUAUUGAAGACUAACUACUGCGAAAGCAUUUGCCAAGGAUGUUUUCAUUAAUCAAGAACGAAAGUUAGGGGAUCGAAGACGAUCAGAUACCGUCGUAGUCUUAACCAUAAACUAUGCCGACUAGGGAUCGGAUGAUGUUAAUUUUUAAUGACUCAUUCGGCGCCUUACG
rnacentral:rRNA from 1 species